rnacentral:lncRNA from 1 species
GUUCAUGGGAACUUGAGGAACACAGGGAAUUCUUGUUCAAUAAUGAACGCAAUGCGGCUUGGAAAAGACUCUUGGUAGACACGAACAAAAAAGUAUAGCCAGAGCAGCCUUCAGAAAUCAUUCCUGCAGUUUUUGGAAGCGUUUCUCAAGGUCUGAAUGGAGGCUGUGAAGUUACUAACAAAAUGAACAGGCUCUGCUUUUCAUAAUUGGCUUCAUGACUGUGGGUUUUGGCAACAACUCUAGAGGAACACAGGGCCCGGAAGAGGGGCACAAUGAAGCCACUCACUGUAAUAACUUAAGCAACAACAAUGCACCUUUUCAGAUUAAUGCCAAGAAAAUAUAUGCAGAAGAGACACCCAUGUCAUUGAACAAGAGGUUCUAAUAUUACAUAACAGGGUAGUGGUAUGUAGCUGUAGUGGUAUGUGCUCUCUCUCAAUGCUGAGCUGCAGCUCCCAGUCAGCCACUGGAUCAUGAGGGUAAAAUACGGAUACUUGACAUCUUCUUAAAGAACAUCAUGCCUGCUAAGCCAUCCAGUUUGGAUGCCCCAGUGCCUUCCACCAGCCAUUCUCAAGCCUCAUUAGAAGAGAGAGAUUGAUGACCCUGUAGCUGCAGCAUCCCAUCAUCCUGCAUUUUAGUUCAAUGCUUCAAACGUUCUUCAGGCCCAGUGUGCUUUCAGCUGUGUAUGUUAAUGGGAGAGUGAGCAAGUUUCGUCCUUGUGCCUGCAUCUGCUGGGAAACGAUAAGAGCCCAACAUAUGUUAGAAGCAACAAUCGCAGACAAAGAGUACAACUUGUUUUUGAAGACUCAAACUGAAACACUGGCCCUUCCUGAGUCUCAAGCCUGCUGGCCUUUGGGCUGGAACUAAACCCUCAGCUCUCCUGUGUCUCCAACCUGCCCGCUCUGCCUAGUGAUCUUGGGACUUCCCAGACUUUAUAAUCAUGUGCAUCUCCUGCUGUUCCCAAUCUACUCAUCCUAGGAACCAACUCAGGUCAGGAGAAGCAAGGAAAGCCUUACAACCUGUUACUGACCGGAGGGGAUGAAGGAGACAGGGAAACUACAACACAUGGAAUGUGGUAUCCUGAAUGGGACCCUGGAACCAAAGAAUGACACUGGGGAAGAACUGCUGAAAUUCAAGUAAAAUGUGGAGUCUCGUUAGUGGCAAUGUACCAAGGCUACAAACCUGUACAGCAUGUGAUUCUACUGAAUAUACGGGCAAUUGUUAACACAAUGAUGUGAUGACUGAUUUCCAGCAGCUGAAGGGAAGUCUUUUGGAUUAACUUUUGUGAUUGAUUUGCUCUGGGUUCAGUCAGCCUGCAAGGCAGAUGUGAUGGUUGGAAAUAUAGAGUGUGUAUCUUGGCGGAUGAAAAACUCACUCAUUCUCUUCCAGAGAGCAAGUGCUACAAAUGAGAAAAAUAUGAAGAAAAGGAUUUGCAAAUAAGCAGCAGUCCAGAUGUCUGCAGCAUAUGACA